rnacentral:rRNA from 1 species
GUCUCUUUAAAUUAUUAAAGCACUCCCAUACCAUUGUGAACGUACCCGUCAGCGUUGCCUCGGCGGGCGGCCCCUCCCUGGGGCCGCUGCCUCCCUCGGGGGGUGCCCGCCGGCGUACCAAAACUCUUUUGUAUUUUAGUGGCCUCUCUGAGAAAACAAGCAAAUAAGUUAAAACUUUCAACAACGGAUCUCUUGGUUCUGGCAUCGAUGAAGAACGCAGCGAAAUGCGAUAAGUAAUGUGAAUUGCAGAAUUCAGUGAAUCAUCGAAUCUUUGAACGCACAUUGCGCCCGCCAGUACUCUGGCGGGCAUGCCUGUUCGAGCGUCAUUUCAACCCUCAAGCCCUGCUUGGUGUUGGGGUCCUACGGCUGCCGUAGGCCCUGAAAGCUAGUGGCGGGCUCGCUAUAACUCCGAGCGUAGUAGUAAAAUAUCUCGCUAGGGAGGUGUCGCGGGUUCCGGCCGUGAAAGCCCAUCUUUUACACAAGGUUGACCUCGGAUCAGGUAGGAAUACCCGCUGAACUUAAGCAUAUCAAUAAGCGGAGGAA